rnacentral:lncRNA from 1 species
GUUUCUCGCAGUUGUGAAUUAGAUCGUAGUUCAAAUUACUCGGGAGAUCGUAUACGUAAACGUACCCGUUUUUACAAUCCGCAGCGGGGGCGGUGGUUGCGGAGGCGGCGGAGAUUGAAUUGACGAGUGGUGCAGAGACGACGGCGGCGGGGAGGGGGGAAGAUGAACUGGAACUGGAAAUGGAAGUGGAAGGGGAAGAAUCGGAAUCGGAAUCAGAAUCAACAUGGCGGGGGG